GAUUACGGAUACCAGUCUCUCUGCAUCCUCAUCUGUCCACGUAGACAGUCAGCCAGGGAGUGGAAGAAUCCAUUCUUAAGUGGCUCGUGGGUCUCUGGUCGGUCUCAACGAAUGUCGAAAGCAGAGCAUCAGUUGAAAAGAAGAACAGGUAGAAGGUCAUUGAACAAGAGAAACAGCACAGUCCGGGGAAACCAGCUCUUGGGCUUGGAGAGGAAACGGAAGAUGAUCCCCUGUCUGUCAAUGGUAUUGAAGACUUGAGCUAAUGCACACCUGGCUACCCACAACUUCCCUUAGAAGAGCUCUUUCUCAUUAAGACUCAUCACUAAGACUUCAAUCGCAGCUGGUAGAGACUUGGGGCCGGAUCUUAUGCAGGUAGAGAUUUCAGAGCCAACUGAGAUCUCUGAGCAUUGAACCCCUGUGCUGGCUCCUAGUAGUUCAGUAAGUGCUAGGCACAUGAAACCUUGGAGCAUCCCAGGACCCCAGUAUAUCAUAGAGUUCUCCAUCUGGGACUUCUUGGUCUUUGGC
rnacentral:lncRNA from 1 species